AUAAUACUCCCUCCGUCCGGAAUUACUUCUCAUCAAAAUUGAUGUGCCUAGAACUAAAAUACAUCUAGAUACAUCCAUUUCAAUGACAAGUAUUUUCGGACGGAGGGAGUAGUAG
rfam:Triticum aestivum genome assembly, contig: Triticum_aestivum_CS42_TGACv1_scaffold_514624_6BS